rnacentral:rRNA from 1 species
GACGAACGCUGGCGGCGUGCUUAACACAUGCAAGUCGAACGGUAAGGCCCUUCGGGGUACACGAGUGGCGAACGGGUGAGUAACACGUGGGUGAUCUGCCCUGCACUUCGGGAUAAGCCUGGGAAACUGGGUCUAAUACCGGAUAGGACCACUGCCUGCAUGGGUGGUGGUGGAAAGCUUUUGCGGUGUGGGAUGGGCCCGCGGCUUAUCAGCUUGUUGGUGGGGUGAUGGCCUACCAAGGCGAUGACGGGUAGCCGGCCGGAGAGGGGGACCGGCCACACUGGGAGUGGGAUACGGCCCAGACGCCUACGGGAGGCAGCAGUGGGGAAUAUUGCACAAUGGGCGCAAGCCUGAUGCAGCGACGCCGCGUGAGGGAUGACGGCCUUCGGGUUGUAAACCUCUUUCAGCACCGACGAAGCGCAAGUGACGGUAGGUGCAGAAGAAGGACCGGCCAACUACGUGCCAGCCGCCGCCGUAA